rnacentral:rRNA from 1 species
AGUGAACGCUGGCGGCGGGCCUAAUACAUGCAAGUCGAACGGAGUGGCGCACGGGUGAGGAAUGUACAGCUAACAUGCCCUACACUAGAGGACAACAGAUGGAAACGACUGCUAAUACUCCAAAGUGUAGGUUGAGGCUAUAUUGUAUCAGCUAGUUGGUGAUGUAAUGGCUCACCAAGGCUAUGACGAAUAACUGGUCUGAGAGGAUGAUCAGUCACACUGGAACUGAGACACGGUCCAGACUCCUACGGGAGGCAGCAGUAGGGAAUAGUGCUCAAUGGGCGAAACCCUGAAGCAGCAACGCCGCGUGGAGGAUGACACUUUUCGGAGCGUAAACUCCUUUUGGUAGGGAAGCGGUACCUAACGAAUAAGCACCUGCUAACUCCGUGCCAGCAGCCGCGGUAAUUC